AGUGAACGCUGGCGGUAGGCCUAACACAUGCAAGUCGAACGGCAGCACCGUAAGAGCUUGCUCUUACGGGUGGCGAGUGGCGGACGGGUGGGGAAUACAUCGGCAUCUACUUUUUCGUGGGGGAGAACGUAGGGAAACUUACGCUAAUACCGCAUACCACCUACGGGUGAAAGCAGGGGAUCUUCGGGCCUUGCGCGAUUGAAUGAGCCGAUGUCGGAUUGGCUGGUUGGCGGGGUACUGGCCCACCAAGGCGACGAUCCGUAGCUGGACUGAGAGGAUGAUCAGUCACACGGGAACUGAGACACGGACCAGACUCCUACGAGAGGCAGCAGUGGGGAAUAGUGGACAAUGGGCGCAAGCCUGAUCCAGCCAGACCGCGUGGGUGAAGAAGGCCCUCGGGUUGGAAAGCCGGCUUGUUGGGAAAGAACAGCAGCAGGUUAAGACGCCGCGGUUCUGACGGUACCCAAAGAAGAAGCACCGGCUAACUUCGUG
rnacentral:rRNA from 1 species